UAGAUGCGAGAGUAGAGCAUAUCAAUAAGCGGAGGAAAAGAGACUAACAAGGAUUCCCCUAGUAACGGCGAGUGAAGCGGGAAGAGCUCAAAUUUGAAAUCUUCAAGGUUUGACCUUGACGAAUUGUAGUUUAAAGAAGUGUUUUCGGUUAGAGGAGUAGUAAAAGUUCUUUGGAAUAGGACAUCAUAGAGGGUGAGAAUCCCGUAUUUGACUAUUCUUUCUAGCUUUGUGAUACACUUUCAAAGAGUCGGAUUGUUUGGGAAUGCAGUCCAAAAUGGGUGGUAAAUUUCAUCUAAAGCUAAAUAUUGGCGAGAGACCGAUAGCGAACAAGUACCGUGAGGGAAAGAUGAAAAGAACUUUGAAAAGAGAGUUAAACAGCUACGUGAAAUUGUCAAAAGGGAAGCGUUUGACACCAGUGUUGUUUUUCCGAAAAUCAAUUAAAAAUUGAUUCAUGCCAGGUUGUAUUGACCUUAUCAGCUUGCAAUUUGGUUUUGGGUCUCUUUUUGAUGCACUUUUCGGUUAACAAGUCAACAUCAAUUUCCUUUGCUGUAAAAAGGUAAGAGGAAGGUGGCUUCAAUUUCGGUUGAAGUGUUUAUAGCCUUUUAUCUCUGCAGUCGGGGAGAUUGAGGUCUGCAGCGUAGAUCCUUCGGGGCUAGAUACAUUUAUGCUAAGUUAUAGCUUGUCAUAGACAACUUGUUGACUAUGUUCAGUCAUGUAGCUUACUCGUAGUGCUAUUUUACCUACGCUUAGGAUGUUGACACACGCGCGUGCUCG
rnacentral:rRNA from 1 species